GCUUCUGAUGGCCUCUGGGAACAAUUAAGUGAUCAAUCAGCUGUGGAGAUGGUAUUUAAAAACCCAAGAGCUGGAAUAGCUAAGAGACUGGUGCGAGCAGCCCUUCAGGAGGCUGCCAAGAAGAGGGAGAUGAGGUACAAGGACAUCCUGAAGAUAGAAAAGGGGAUUAGGCGCUAUUUCCAUGAUGAUAUAACAGUUAUUGUGAUCUAUCUUGAUCACCAGAAAGAAUCAUUCCAUUCCAAAGGCACUCUUGGCUCCAUCACUGCACCUGUAGACAUUUUCUCAUUUAAUUCAGAUGAUGCUGAGGAGAACCAAGUGAUUGAAGCCUUUUGAACUGCCAGAAACCGCAACAAGAGGAUGGUAUAUUCAGUACAUAAUGUUACUGUAUAGGGAAAUGGC
rnacentral:misc_RNA from 1 species